GGUCUUUGGUUUGAAUGAAGAGCUAUUUCAUUUUUCUUCUCAUUUGCUGCAGUAUUUUCGGUUUCCCUUUUGUUUUCUUGGAUUGGAUGAUGAAAAUGGAGUUGUGGUUGAGUUUGGUGGUGAAGAAAGCUUGAGUUGGUGUGUGGGUGUUUGAGUUUGAACUAUUUUCUUCUUGGGCUUUUGUUUUGAUGGUUGGAAGUAAUAUUUUGAGCUGGAAAAUUGUGUUGCUUUCCAUGGCUGGAUGGUUCUGCAAGGAAAGUUAGAGAUUAUAUUUUGUUUUAGUCAAAAGUUUGAAGAAGAGUGAGUUUGAAGUUG
rnacentral:lncRNA from 1 species